rnacentral:rRNA from 1 species
CGAACGGCAGCACGGGUGCUUGCACCUGGUGGCGAGUGGCGAACGGGUGAGUAAUGCGUCGGAACGUACCGAGUAGUGGGGGAUAACGCAGCGAAAGUUGUGCUAAUACCGCAUAUUCUGUGAGCAGGAAAGCGGGGGAUCUUCGGACCUCGCGCUAUUCGAGCGGCCGACGUCUGAUUAGCUAGUUGGUGGGGUAAUGGCUCACCAAGGCGACGAUCAGUAGCGGGUCUGAGAGGAUGAUCCGCCACACUGGGACUGAGACACGGCCCAGACUCCUACGGGAGGCAGCAGUGGGGAAUUUUGGACAAUGGGCGAAAGCCUGAUCCAGCCAUGUCGCGUGUCUGAAGAAGGCCUUCGGGUUGUAAAGGACUUUUGUCAGGGAGGAAAUCCCCAGGGCUAAUACCCUUGGGGGAUGACAGUACCUGAAGAAUAAGCACCGGCUAACUACGUGCCAGCAGCCGCGGUAAUACGUAGGGUGCAAGCGUUAAUCG